GACGAACGCUGGCGGCGUGCUUAACACAUGCCAGUCGAACGAAGAGCGUUGGAAGCUUGCUUCUAUCAAUCUUAGUGGCGAACGGGUGAGUAACGCGUAAUCAACCUGCCCUUCAGAGGGGGACAACAGUUGGAAACGACUGCUAAUACCGCAUACGAUCUAACCUCGGCAUCGAGGAUAGAUGAAAGGUGGCCUCUACAUGUAAGCUAUCACUGAAGGAGGGGAUUGCGUCUGAUUAGCUAGUUGGAGGGGUAACGGCCCACCAAGGCGAUGAUCAGUAGCCGGUCUGAGAGGAUGAACGGCCACAUUGGGACUGAGACACGGCCCAGACUCCUACGGGAGGCAGCAGUGGGGAAUCUUCCGCAAUGGACGAAAGUCUGACGGAGCAACGCCGCGUGAGUGAUGACGGCCUUCGGGUUGUAAAGCUCUGUUAAUCGGGACGAAAGGCCUUCUUGCGAAUAGUGAGAAGGAUUGACGGUACCGGAAUAGAAAGCCACGGCUAACUACGUG
rnacentral:rRNA from 1 species